UCUCUUCUUCGAUGCGGCCUAACCGCGUCCCGUUCGCCCGCCCGGCCACCUGCCCGUGAGGGUUUCCGCGGCACCGCCGCCGCCGGCUGCCAUUCACGCCCACGCCGAGGGAAAGGCCGUAGUCAAGCCGUGGGGCGGGGGCAUCGGCGACGGGGCUGAUGCGACGGACCUCCAUGCGCCCUCCAAUCCGAAUGCCCUCUCGUCCACGUCUACAUCUGUCCGUUUAUCUCCUCUGAGUCAGAGUGCCCUCCGUCAGAACUCUUUGUCAGCAUGGCGGCCGGUGGCAGCGGCCAUCUACGAUCUGUUCGUGCGUUGCCCUGAUGGAGGCGGCCGUGCUCCAUAGCAAGGCAGAAAGGGAAACCAACUUCAACUUUGCGAGGAGAAGUUCCGCAUUUGAGAAGCCGGAGAAGAGUAUCUCACUAAGUACAGAUUCGAGUGACUUUGCCAAAACUUGCUGACAUGGGGUCUCGUUCAGAGCACAAGCUUCACCUGAAUAACCUUCUUUCAGUUAGUAAAACACUCAGCAAAGCAGCCGACUCCGUCGAUGUCGUGCUCGUUUACCAGCCAUGCAUUCCAGACAAGUUGAAUGCCGGUGGCAACAUGCAUUCAACGGCACCCUCGUCAGCGCUCUCCUCACAGGACCCCGCCUCCCACGCUGGACCUCCUUGCCGCCCGCACAACGCUAUUACUCCACGCACGCAUGGCCAAACUUCCUCAUAGGGGUGCGUAGGUGUGUCGUUCCUGCAGACCUAUUUUUUGGUGCUACGUCGACAUGCUAGGCCAUGCUUCAUCUUCGACUGGCUCAACCUCCACGGCACGGCGUAGCUGCGCAGGCUACAGUCCGCCCAAGCGCCGGGAUGUGCAAGGCGUUCUGGGGCGUGUGUACGCCGACUAAUGUGACUUUCUGCUUUACUCAGCGAGCAAUCCUAGGGAUUUCUUUUUUUUGGAAUUCAUUAUACAUUCUGUUUUUUAUUUAAUUUUAGGGCCUCAUGUGGAUAUAUCUGUUGCAGAUUGGUGAAGAUAAAGCUGCCGAUGUGGUGCUCACUGCUCACCUCGGAUGCAAUUCAAAAUUAUGUUGAUUUAUGUUCCUCUGUGUUACAGUUUAUUCUGGUUUUUAGAAAUACUAAUGUUUUUUCAGUAAGGACAGUGGCUAUUCUUAUUUUGACAUAGAGUGUGGUAGAUGAACAUGUCUUCAUUUCAGGUUGAAGGCAUUCCAAAUUCACUUAUAAUAGAAGCUCAAUAAUGCACUUAGUCUACCACCAAAUUCAAAUUAUUGAAAGAUCAAUCCAACAUUAAUUUGCCUCAGAUACAGUCUGGUGCAUUUUCCUUAACAUGACACUCUUUUUAGAGUGAUAACCUUCAUUUCAGGUUGACGGCAUUUCAAAGAAACUUCAAGAUUGCAAGAUAAUGAAAGCGUAAUUAUAUAUUUUUUGCAGUGGCAAGGUGAAAUUGUAUAAAAGAGACAAAGAAGAGCUGCUUCAUGUCCUUGAUCAUCGGUGCCCUUCUCCAGCGACCAACGUAUAUUCAUGCAUGAUGCUAAUGUGUGGAGACUAUGCCAGUGGAGAGACCAACGACGAUUACCUUGAGAUAGUGGGAUGUGCAUGGAAGGAGCGACUAACUAUGUAGAGGAAAGCUGCGCUCGCCGGCACUGGUCAGGGGCCUAAAUGAUUGAGGAGUGAAAUUAGAUCAUGGCCUUUCAUGUUUGAAGGGAUAUAGUAUUACGAUAACUCUCAAAAAUCAAUAUUGUAUAAUGACAGAAGUUAAUAAUCUAAAUCAGCAGGAGCAAGCUUUGGAUGAGUGUAUAUACUAGCGAGAUGUGCGGAAAGCUAAGCGGGUUAAUGGAAGAUGAGAAUGGUCGAAGCAGAGUUGUGGUGACGGUGUCAACCAUGAUGUUAUAGGGAGAUGCACUACUGGAUGCCAUUCUAUUUGCUCCAUGUGCAAUUUGGUAAAAUUGAUUCAUGUUUUAAAUUCAAAAGUUAUGUUCUUUCAGGUUGUAAACUGCAUCCUAUAGUUAUUCAUGCAUUUUUGUCUACGCGAUGACACGUAUAAAACGCAUUGUCAAUGUUUAGAUGAUGGUGGUAUAAGAAGAAAAUAAACUGCUGUUUUUUAUCCUCGACAAGAUAUUUUGGGUCCUUUUUCUGUGCUAGCAUCUUUUCUUUUGGAAUGGGAUAGUUAAUGGUGCUCUUAUAAAAAAUUUGUUGUCUCCCUUCAUUCCGAAAUAUAAGCCCUUUUAGAGAUUUCAAUAAGGACUACAUACGGAUGUAUAAGCUUCAUAUGUAGUCCAUAUUGGAAUCUCUAGAAAGGCUUAUAUUUAGGAACGGAGGGAGUACAAGAAAAACAACUGCGGCCACCUUUUUUUAGUUACUCUAUUCCAAGGUUGGUACUGGAAGAUUUCAGAAGGAAAAUGAAUGCAAAACAAACUAUGGAGAAAGUAAUAUGUGCAAUAUACCAAACUGGAGGAAGAAAUACAAAUCAAGAUAAGAACAUUACAUCAGUGGUGGUUUGAAAGAGGCAAAAGCAGGGAGGAAGGUAAAAUAAGAAAUGUAGAAGAGCUCUCUUAUAUUGCCUACAAGCAAGUUGAUUAGUGCUCUUGUAUUUUCAAGGAGAAGAGAAUUACUGGAAAAAAAAACGAAAUGGAAAUGACCUGAAGGAGGAACUUUGAAGGUAAACUGUGAUGGGCUUUCUUUUCUGGAAAUAGUAAUGGUGGCUGGGGAUCUAUCAUUAGAGACGAUGAAAGAGAUGAUAUCGUAUGUACGAUGGGUAAAACUCUGAAUAUACUACGUUACUUGCAUGUUGAGAUUGUGGCGGCUCACGAAUGAGCACAAUUAGUUGUGACUGCUAAGUAAAGUUGAGGUAUAAGCAAUAUUAGUUUUGAGACUAGCGGGUGUGGAACAUGAAGGGAAAGAUCUCUCUUGAGGUCUGCAUUACUAUGCUGGAUCUGAAGGAGUUUCUCUACUAAAACUUCUACAGUUUUAAAACUUGUGUACUCCAGUAGAGAUUGUAAUAAAGUAGCACAUUCCCUAACCGCCCUGGGUUGUAGUUUAAAUAUAGAAGCAAGCAUUGUAAUGGACCAUGAUGUAUCUGUUGUAAUUGAACAAGUGUCAUGCCACUUAGUUGUGACGUAUAUGUAAU